rnacentral:tRNA from 1 species
GCUCCCAUAGUUUAAUGGUAAAACGUUGCCAUGGUAAGGCAAAAAUGCCGGUUCGAUUCCGACUGGGAGCU